UGAUAGGUUGGAUGUGGAAGCAUAGCGAUAUGUGAAGCUGACCAAUACUAAUUGCUCGUGAGGCUUGACUAUACAACCCCCAAACAGUUGGG
rnacentral:rRNA from 1 species